AUGAAGUUGCAUUUGGCUUUCUCAGUGAUGGAGAAGUGCAGGCUGCAACGCAGGAUACAACCAACUCCUCGUGCUCCGUCGCUGCCUUCUCUGAGGCCGGGUUGUGUCUCUAUCGACUUCCACGCCAUCAGCUUUGCGGUUGCCAUCAUGGUGGGAUUCAUGCUGAAGAGAAGCCUGUGCCAGUGGGCUGUUAGGACGCUCAAGAGAGUCAAGGAUGAUACGAAAAAGGGUUUCCCCCCGCUUUGUAUGACAAAGCAACCAUCCGAUACAACCAACGAUAGGCGCUGGGGCGGAAGCAGCACAAACACGCCCAAAAGAAAUGAAAGAGAAAAAAGAAAAGAAACAAAUGCCGAUAACGUCGAAUCGACAAAAACGACGAAGCCUCGUGACCGCUGCGUCCACCGGAGAUCGCCCACCAAGCUCCGAGACUCCGAAGCGCCGGUACCAAUCAACUCCUCCAAGAAGGGAUGCGACAAUGACGACGCAGCUGCCAAGGGUUUCCCCCAGUACGCGGCGAGGAGAGAGGAAGGGUAG
rnacentral:rRNA from 1 species